UACAGAGGUCCCGAGCGUUGUUCGGAUUCACUGGGCGUAAAGGGUGCGUAGGUGGCAUGGCAAGUUUGAUGUGAAAGCUCAGGGCUUAACCCUGAAAUGGCAUUGAAUACUGCUGUGCUGGAGGUUUGGAGGGGGGACUGGAAUUCUCGGUGUAGCAGUGAAAUGCGUAGAUAUCGAGAGGAACACCAGUGGCGAAGGCGAGUCCCUGGACAACACCUGACACUGAGGCACGAAAGCUAGGGGAGCAAACAGG
rnacentral:rRNA from 1 species